GGUCUCCUCCCAAAGAGUAACGGAGGAGCACGAAGGUUAGCUAAUCCUGGUCGGACAUCAGGAGGUUAGUGCAAUGGCAUAAGCUAGCUUGACUGCGAGCGUGACGGCGCGAGCAGGUGCGAAAGCAGGUCAUAGUGAUCCGGUGGUUCUGAAUGGAAGGGCCAUCGCUCAACGGAUAAAAGGUACUCCGGGGAUAACAGGCUGAUACCGCCCAAGAGUUCAUAUCGACGGCGGUGUUUGGCACCUCGAUGUCGGCUCAUCACAUCCUGGGGCUGAAGUAGGUCCCAAGGGUAUGGCUGUUCGCCAUUUAAAGUGGUACGCGAGCUGGGUUUAGAACGUCGUGAGACAGUUCGGUCCCUAUCUGCCGUGGGCGCUGGAGAAUUGAGGGGGGCUGCUCCUAGUACGAGAGGACCGGAGUGGACGCAUCACUGGUGUUCGGGUUGUCAUGCCAAUGGCACUGCCCGGUAGCUAAAUGCGGAAGAGAUAAGUGCUGAAAGCAUCUAAGCACGAAACUUGCCCCGAGAUGAGUUCUCCCUGAGACUNNNAAGCGCAGCGAUGCGUUGAGCUAACCGGUACUAAUGAACCGUGAGGCUUAACCUU
rnacentral:rRNA from 1 species